UACGGGGGGGGUAAGCGUUGUUCGGAAUUACUGGGCGUAAAGGGCUCGUAGGCGGCCAACUAAGUCAGACGUGAAAUCCCUCAGCUUAACUGGGGAACUGCGUCUGAUACUGGAUGGCUUGAAUUCGGGAGAGGGAUGCAGAAUUCCAGGUGUAGCGGUGAAAUGCGUAGAUAUCUGGAGGAAUACCGGUGGCGAAGGCGGCAUCCUGGACCGACAUUGACGCUGAUGAGCGAAAGCUAGGGGAGCAAACGGG
rnacentral:rRNA from 1 species